UUUUUUUUCAUAUAUUUGACUAAUAAAUAUAAUUAUUUUUUACCGACCGGCUAAAUGUGUAACUCGCCUUCAUAUAUACGAUACAACUAAACAUUUGGUCCCCAGAGAAAUUACAAGGUCAGCCAGAUUGACAAUGGUAAGAACGCCGGUGGGCAGGGAGUGUCAUCCCAAUUCAAUGCCAGAUCCAAAGAGGAGAAAAUUGGUGAAGGGAUACCUAUCGAUUUUCAACAAUCUGACGGAUGCACUCCUUACUGAAAUACUCAUAAGACUACCAAAUAGCAAAGAAGCAAUUCGAUGCAAAUUGGUUUGCAAACGUUGGUUCUCUCUAAUCUCCUCGGAUUACUUCGUUACCACCUCCACCUUUUACCAUCGAGAUAAGGAGGUGCGUGUCGUGUUGUCGUGUACAAUUUACGAACAGAUAAAGUCGAAAGCUGUAUCCGCCCUAGCAUAUUCAAGCCCUCCGGUUCGCCAGAAGUACUAGCACCAAGCUGUAGUGCGUUACAAGUAUUACAAAUUACCCAAAACUGGUGGCCAACAUCUCCCUUUUGAUCUCAGGACUGCGUCUUAGUCAUCUGGAUUAGAUUUGUUGAUCGUUCUUAGUGGUGUCUUUCUGUUGUCCGUUUUUAUUUAAUUCAGGAUACUUUAGGCCUAUGAUUUAGUGUUCAGUGCAGACAUAGAAUUGUUUUUUCUGUUCUGCUUGGUAGUUGGCAAAGACCUUUUUUUUCAUGUUAUUCUGUUCACAAUGUUUAACUGCUUGUUUGGAAGGUUGUUACCUAUUAUAUUG